rnacentral:rRNA from 1 species
UCGUAACAAGGUUUCCGUAGGUGAACCUGCGGAAGGAUCAUUAACAAUUUCUGGGAUGUCCAACAGGCCUCCCAAGCAAAUACAUUCCUGUGUAUUCUUCCAUGUUGCUUCCCCAGGCCAGCAGCCAUUGCUGCCAGUCCAAGCCCUGACAGGUCACUAGCCUGAGGUGUCUGGGGAAGGGUCAAUUAUCAAACCUUUAUAUCAAUUUGUAGUCUGAGAAGGCAAUUUGCCGUAACUUUUAAACAUGUUAAAACUUUCAACAACGGAUCUCUUGGCUCUCGCAUCGAUGAAGAACGCAGCGAAAUGCGAUAAGUAAUGUGAAUUGCAGAAUUCAGUGAAUCAUCGAAUCUUUGAACGCACAUUGCGCCCUUUGGCAUUCCUUAGGGCAUGCCUGUUCGAGCGUCACUAACAACCAUCUCACAGAAAAUGUGGUAUUGGCUAAAGUGUGUAGCACAGUUAGUGUGCUCUUCUCACUUAGCUGAAAUGGAUUGGCCAGAGAAGUAUAUCAUGGCAACAGACUCUAAGAGUGUUUUUGAAAUGCUAAACUAGUCUGUGGCAGGUGUGAAUCUGAGCUUCAAGGACCACCAUUUAGUCCAAAUCUAAUAUGUUGACCUCGGAUCAGGUAGGGAUACCCGCUGAACUUAAGCAUAUCAUA